GGCUGCUGCAUCUGGUUUCCCAUCCCUCGAUCACCAUGACAGGAAGCUAAAAGCAGGUCCUGGAUUAGGGAAUGUGGCAGCCGGACGUAUGGGGAUGUUUUUGUUGGCAGGCUGAGAUGUGGGCACGCAAGGGAAAGAAAAAUGAGAAGAUGGGCAGAGCAGUUAAUGGGAGAAAUUGCUCAAUCUCCUGCCUGUAGUAGACAGAAGAUUUGAAAGAAGAUACUUGCCUGACUGUAGAUAGGGCCUAGUUGGAUCAGGGCAUUCCCAAGAUGACCAACAAUGGACUUGCUUUAAAAAAGACUUUACUUUUUUUGAAACCGUCAGCUUUCUAAAAGAGCUAAAGUCUGUUGUAUGUGGGCUGAUCUUCCAUUUGCUGAGUGCACAUUUUAGUAUCUGUUGAUGUUAUUCUGCUGAGAAGAGGCAGCCAAACACAUCCAAACAGAAAGACAACAACAAUGUGGGUGUCUUUGGAUCGCGCUCACAGAAAAACACAGACUUCUCUGAGCACGGCUGUGGUUUUAGCCCAUUUCUUUUGUUCCAAAACAGCAAAACUAGUGUUUCAGUGGUGCACCUUCACAUGGUGAAUUAUUCAAUGCUAAAACAGAUGUUCUCUCUCUCUCUCUCUUCUCUCUCUCACACACACACACACACACACACACACACACACACUGUAGCCUGCACACCGUUUCUUAUUUAUUUGAUUUCAGAAAACUUUUUUUGCCUCUUGUGUGUCACUGAUUAAAUAAUGUUUGCGCUCUGUCACCGUUGUGUUCUCUGUUUGAAUUAUUAGCCUGCUGAUGUCUUGAUAUGACGGAUGGUAAUGACCACUCAGCUGUGACAGACUGAAAACAGUUUGCUAAUGGUCAGCUGCACUCAGCUAAAAGUCAAAACAUUAUCAAAAGCUGUAAAUGUGAUGUAUAUCAUUCUGAAUAGGCAGUAGAUAGCCAAUAUAACAAAUGUAAUUGGCUGUAAAAGUGACUGACUGUGUCUUUGUUUUAAAAUGAAGUGCUGAGAUGCAGUCAAAUCACUAGACUGCUGGCAAGGGGAAAAAUCCUCAUUGUAACUGCAGCAGAUCUUGCUAGAGGAUAUGCCAUUUUUUAAUCUUUAUGUCUUGU